ensembl:snRNA U6 U6 spliceosomal RNA
GUGCUCACUUCAGUAGCACAUAUACUAAAAUUGGAACAAUACAGAGAUUAGCAUGGCCCCUGUACAAGGAUGACACGCUAAUUCAUGAAUCAUUGCAUAUUUUU